CGAAAUCAUAAAUCGUAAUUUGUGUCGGAGUGAAAUAAUUAUUUCGAUUUGAAACGGUAUGAAGUAAUGUUGGUAAUAUUUCUAAGACGUGUUAUCUGUUACCGAGGCACUUUCACCAACUUUAAAGAGAAGAAUUUCGGGUCGGAAGCGGUGUAUGACAUCAAUGUAUAUGUGUUUCUAAGGCACUUUCACCAACUUUAAAGAGAAGAAUUUCGGACCGGAAGCGGCGUUUUUAGUUUCGCUGUCUUCCUGAACAUACUGAAAGAAAAGUAUGGCAUCAAUGGUAGUGUAAUGGUGGAUUUCUCGGAAAUUUCUAUUCUUUGCCCUUCAAGAAUUGCAUUUUGCUGGUGUCUACGUGUAACACUGACGGUGAGAUUUUGCUGGUGUCUACGUGUAAUACUGG